CACACAUGGAUUCAGGUUAGCUUCCGCUCAUGUAGUUUAAUUCCGAAUUGUUCAAUAUGAAGGUUAUUGUCUUUAGUAGGAAUCAUAAUCCUAACAUACUUGUUCUGAAGGCAUAUUUUACGGGCAUUAGAGAAAGAAUUUGGACAAUAAGAGAGUCAGGUAACUCUGACUGAUCCAAUCAAUACCUGUUUAUGCACAUCCUUUCUGAAUCUUCUUUGUUUUCUGAGGUGGAUUUUCAUGGUCUUUACAGUCUGCAUCAUUACCAGAACUGCGAGGACACUGGUCUUGCUCACCCAUGGUUGUCAUUCCUUGAGAGACCUAUACACUAGUCCGCUCCUGUACCUUUGUUUAGUCUUGAGAAGGAAGACAUACUAUGCAGCAAUUAGGGCUAAGAAGGGUGGAAAUGAUCGGUCAAUACUGAGAAUUGCGGGUCAAGUUUAGUUUCCCAUUAAAAA
rnacentral:lncRNA from 1 species